CCUACGGGCGGCUGCAGUGGGGAAUAUUGGACAAUGGGCGAAAGCCUGAUCCAGCCAUGCCGCGUGUGUGAAGAAGGCCUUCGGGUUGUAAAGCACUUUCAGUGGGGAAGAAAGCCUUGGGGCUAAUACCCUCGAGGAAGGACAUCACCCACAGAAGAAGCACCGGCUAACUCCGUGCCAGCAGCCGCGGUAAUACGGAGGGUGCGAGCGUUAAUCGGAAUUACUGGGCGUAAAGCGCGCGUAGGCGGUCUGAUAAGCCGGUUGUGAAAGCCCCGGGCUCAACCUGGGAACGGCAUCCGGAACUGUCAGGCUAGAGUGCAGGAGAGGAAGGUAGAAUUCCCGGUGUAGCGGUGAAAUGCGUAGAGUUCGGGAGGAAUACCAGUGGCGAAGGCGGCCUUCUGGACUGACACUGACGCUGAGGUGCGAAAGCGUGGGUAGCAAACAGGAUUAGAUACCCCGGUAGUC
rnacentral:rRNA from 1 species